rnacentral:rRNA from 1 species
CCGGUACUAAUAGGUCGAGGGCUUGACCAGCAAAAGGCGGAGGUUGGAAAUUGGAGGUUAGAAGUUGGAAAGACUACUAGCGCCAAGGAUAAUCCAACUAAAGUGAAAAAGCCUGGGCUUUAAAAAAACAAAUCGCUGUGCAGUUUUGAAGGGAUAAGGAGUUUGGUUAUCCAAUUUCCAAUUUCUAAAUUCAAACGUCUAAUAAGUUUUCCGGUGACCAUACUGGAGAGGAUACACCCGUUCCCAUCUCGAACACGGAAGUUAAGCUCUCUAAGGCCGAUGGUACUUGGGCUUAUGCCCCGGGAGAGUAGGUAGUUGCCGGAA